AGGAGGAACUGAAAUAGUAAGCACUGCUAAUCCUUACGCCCCGAGGUUAAAAUCCGCGGCUUCCUUGUG
rnacentral:tRNA from 1 species